GUCUCAGUUCGGAUUGCAGGCUGCAACCCGCCUGCAUGAAGCCGGAAUCGCUAGUAAUCGCAGAUCAGAAUGCUGCGGUGAAUACGUUCCCGGGUCUUGUACACACCGCCCGUCACACCAUGGGAGUCGAUAACGCCCGAAGUCAGUGACCCAACCGAGAGGAGGGAGCUGCCGAAGGCGGGAUGGAUAACUGGGGUGAAGUCGUAACAAGGUACC
rnacentral:rRNA from 1 species